AGAGUUUGAUCAUGGCUCAGAAUGAACGCUGGCGGCAGGCCUAACACAUGCAAGUCGAACGGGUGUCUUCGGGCACUAGUGGCGGACGGGUGAGUAACGCGUGGGAACAUACCCAAAGGUACGGAAUAGCCUCGGGAAACUGAGAGUAAUACCGUAUGUGCCCUUCGGGGGAAAGAUUUAUCGCCUUUGGAUUGGCCCGCGUUGGAUUAGGUAGUUGGUGGGGUAAUGGCCUACCAAGCCGACGAUCCAUAGCUGGUUUGAGAGGAUGAUCAGCCACACUGGGACUGAGACACGGCCCAGACUCCUACGGGAGGCAGCAGUGGGGAAUCUUAGACAAUGGGCGCAAGCCUGAUCUAGCCAUGCCGCGUGAUCGAUGAAGGCCUUAGGGUUGUAAAGAUCUUUCAGUGGGGAAGAUAAUGACGGUACCCACAGAAGA
rnacentral:rRNA from 1 species